GUCCCUGUAGCGCAUUGGAUGACCUGUUGGACUUCUAAUCCAAAGGUCGUGGGUUCGAUUCCUACCUGGGAUG
rnacentral:tRNA from 1 species